rnacentral:tRNA from 1 species
GAUUCCAGAGCGCAACGGUAGCGCGUCUGACUCCAGAUCACAAGUCUGAGUGUUCAAAUCACGUCAGGGUCA